CCUACGGGAGGCAGCAGUGGGGAAUCUUGCGCAAUGGGCGAAAGCCUGACGCAGCCAUGCCGCGUGAAUGAUGAAGGUCUUAGGAUUGUAAAAUUCUUUCACCGGGGACGAUAAUGACGGUACCCGGAGAAGAAGCCCCGGCUAACUUCGUGCCAGCAGCCGCGGUAAUACGAAGGGGGCUAGCGUUGCUCGGAAUUACUGGGCGUAAAGGGAGCGUAGGCGGAUAGUUUAGUCAGAGGUGAAAGCCCAGGGCUCAACCUUGGAAUUGCCUUUGAUACUGGCUAUCUUGAGUAUGGGAGAGGUAUGCGGAACUCCGAGUGUAGAGGUGAAAUUCGUAGAUAUUCGGAAGAACACCAGUGGCGAAGGCGGCAUACUGGCCCAUUACUGACGCUGAGGCUCGAAAGCGUGGGGAGCAAACAGGAUUAGAUACCCUGGUAGUCCACGCUGUAAACGAUGAGUGCUAGUUGUCGGCAUGCAUGCAUGUCGGUGACGCAGCUACGACAUUAAGACACUCCGCCGUCGGGGAGGUACGGUCGCGAAGAAUUAAACUACGAAGAAGUAGACGGCGUGAGACGUGCCGACGGACGACGACGAGGGAGGAGG
rnacentral:rRNA from 1 species